rnacentral:rRNA from 1 species
GAUGAACGCUGGCGGCGUGCCUAAUACAUGCAAGUCGAGCGAACAGACGAGGAGCUUGCUCCUCUGACGUUAGCGGCGGACGGGUGAGUAACACGUGGAUAACCUACCUAUAAGACUGGGAUAACUUCGGGAAACCGGAGCUAAUACCGGAUAAUAUAUUGAACCGCAUGGUUCAAUAGUGAAAGACGGUUUUGCUGUCACUUAUAGAUGGAUCCGCGCCGCAUUAGCUAGUUGGUAAGGUAACGGCUUACCAAGGCAACGAUGCGUAGCCGACCUGAGAGGGUGAUCGGCCACACUGGAACUUGGACACCGUCCAGACUCCUAAGGGAGGCAGCAGGAGGGAAUCUUCCGGAAUGGGCGAAAGCCUGACGGAGCAACGCCGCGUGAGUGAUGAAGGUCUUCGGAUCGUAAAACUCUGUUAUUAGGGAAGAACAAAUGUGUAAGUAACUAUGCACGUCUUGACGGUACCUAAUCAGAAAGCCACGGCUAACUACGUG